rnacentral:sRNA from 1 species
GGGCCUCGGUGGCGAGGUGGUCGUUCUGGCAAAGGCGCACACUGACUUUGACGUCCAGGCCUUCCGGGUCACCUUUUUUGAUGAAACCAGGUGAUGCAGCCGCCCAUCCACGAUGUUGGGAGAGGGUCUGGGCCCGGAGUGGGGGCUGAGGCCUGAGCACCUCCCCUGGCUUGGUUGUGUGUCGCUGCGUCUCCUGGCGGGUCAGGGCACUGCGGGCUGUGGCGGUGCUCAGUCCUCAUUCCUUGCAGGAUGGCGUCGUGUGGGCAGGGCAGCGUGCGGCUCUGGCGGCUGCGUGGCGGGGCGCUGCGUUCCUGCCCUGUGGACUUAGGGGAGCACCACACACUGCAGUUCACCGACCUCGCCUUCAAGCAGGCCCAGGACGGCUGCCUGGAGCCGUUGGCUGCCAUGCUCUUCGUGUGCAGCCGCAGCGGCCACAUCUUGGAGAUUGACUGUCAGCGCAUGGUCGUGCGGCAUGCCCGCCGCCUGCUCCCCACACGGACUCCGGGCGGCCCCCACCCGCAGAAGCAGACCUUCAGCUCAGGUAAGAGGGCGCCCGCCACGUGGCGAGGGUGGCAGGGACACCGAGGCACUGACGCCUCCCCGCCCCCAGGCCCCGGCAUUGCCAUCAGCAGCCUCAGCAUCUCCCCGGCCAUGUGUGCUGUGGGCUCUGAGGACGGCUUCCUGCGGCUCUGGCCCCUGGACUUCUCCUCGGUGCUCCUGGAGGCAGAGCACGAGGGCCCCGUCAGCUCAGUCUGUGUCAGCCCCGAUGGCCUCCGUGUGCUGUCUGCCACCUCCUCGGGCCACCUGGGCUUCCUGGACACGCUGUCCCGGGUGUACCACAUGCUGGCUCGCUCCCACACCGCCCCGGUGCUGGCCCUCGCCAUGGAGCAGAGGCGGGGACAGCUAGCCACCGUGUCCCAGGACCGCACCGUCCGCAUCUGGGACCUGGCCACCCUGCAGCAGCUAUACGACUUCACAUCAUCAGAGGAGGCCCCGUGCGCUGUCACCUUCCACCCCACAAGGCCAACCUUUUUCUGCGGCUUUAGUAGUGGGGCCGUGCGCUCCUUCAGCUUGGAGGCCGCUGAGGUCCCGGUGGAACACACGUGCCACCGAGGAGCCAUCACCGGCCUGACCGCCACCCCUGACGGCCGCCUGCUCUUCAGCUCCUGCUCUGAGGGCUCCCUGGCCCAGUACAGCUGUGCGGACCCCCACUGGCAUGUCCUCCGAGUGGCAGCGGACAUGGUAUGCCCAGAUGCCCCCGCGAGCCCCAGCGCUCUGGCAGUCAGCAGGGAUGGCCACUUGCUGGCCUUCGUGGGACCCUCCAGGUGCACAGUGACAGUCACGGACUCGGCCUCCCUUGAUGAGCUGCUGCGAGUUGACAUCGGCACUCUGGACCUGGCCAGCAGCCGCCUGGACUCAGCCAUGGCUGUGUGCUUUGGCCCUGCAGCUCUGGGCCACCUGCUGGUGUCCACCUCGUCCAACAGAGUCGUGGUGCUGGAUGCUGUGUCGGGCCGCAUCAUCCGGGAGCUGCCCGGUGUCCACCCUGAGCCCUGUCCCUCCUUGACGCUCAGUGAGGACGCCCGCUUCCUGCUGAUUGCCGCCGGCCGGACCAUCAAGGUGUGGGACUACACGACACAGGCCAGCCCAGGCCCCCAGGUGUACAUCGGCCACUCGGAACCCGUGCAGGCUGUGGCUUUCUCUCCUGACCAGCAGCAGGUCCUCAGCGCAGGGGACGCCGUCUUCCUCUGGGAUGUCCUGGCCACUACUGAGAGGCAAGUGCCUACUCUCAGCUUUGUCUGCCUAGGCCCCCCAGGCCCUCCUGAAACCCUCUCUCCUCCCUCUCCAGCAACCAAAGCUUCCCCGUGGCCCCCCAAGCCUGUGAGGCAGGCUCGGGCAUAGGACCACUGGAGGACGCAUCGUCCAGGGCCAGCGAGCUCCCCCAGCAGCAGGUCCCCAAGCCAUCUCAGGCAUCUCUACCACGGCUGGGCAUCUGUGCCAGGCCUCCCGAAGGUGGCGAUGGUGUCAGGGACACCAGGAAUUCGGGGGCCCCACGCACCACCUGCCUGGCUUCCUACAAGGCCUUCACGCCUGCCAGGGUCAGCUGCAGCCCCCACUCUGCCAAGGGCACUUGCCUGCCUCCCGCCAGCGGUGGGUGGCUGCGUCUGAAGGCUGUCGUUGGCUACAGUGGGAAUGGGCGGGCCAACAUGGUCUGGAGGCCGGACACAGGCUUCUUUGCCUACACCUGCGGCCGCCUGGUGGUGGUGGAGGACCUGCACUCUGGCGCCCAGCAGCACUGGUCCGGCCACUCUGCGGAGGUCUCCACGCUGGCCCUCAGCCACAGUGCCCAGGUCCUGGCCUCUGCCUCAGGCUGCAGCAGCACGACCGCCCAUUGUCAGAUCCGCGUCUGGGAUGUGUCUGGCGGCCUCUGCCAGCAUCUUAUUUCCCACCAUAGCACCACCGUGCUGGCCCUGGCCUUCUCUCCAGAUGACAGGCUUCUUGUCACAUUGGGGGACCACGAUGGCCGCACCCUCGCCCUGUGGGGCACGACCACCUAUGACCUCGUUUCCUCCACCCGCCUCCCGGAGCCGGUGCAUGGCGUGGCCUUCAACCCCUGGGACGCCGGCGAGCUCACCUGUGUGGGCCAGGGCACUGUCACCUUCCGGCUCCUGCAGCAGCGUGGGGCAGACAUCAGCCUUCAGGUGCGUCGAGAGCCGGUCCCAGAGGCAGUGGGGGCUGGAGAGCUGACCUCGCUCUGUUAUGGGGCACCCCCCCUGCUCUAUUGUGGCACCAGCUCUGGCCAGGUCUGUGUCUGGGACACGCGUGCCGGCCGCUGCUUCCUGUCCUGGGAGGCAGAUGACGGUGGCAUUGGACUGUUGCUGUUCUCAGGCUCUCGAUUGGUCAGCGGCAGCAGCGUGGGACGGCUGCGCCUGUGGGCCGUGGGGGCUGUGUCGGAGCUGAGGUGCAAGGGCUCAGGCGCCAGUUCGGUGUUCAUGGAACACGAGCUGGUGCUGGACGGGGCUGUGGUGAGUGCUAGCUUCGAUGACAGCGUGGACAUGGGCGUUGUGGGCACCACGGCGGGCACGCUCUGGUUUGUCAGCUGGGCCGAGGGCACCAGCACGCGUCUCAUCAGUGGCCACAGGAGCAAGGUGAGGGACUUCCAGCCUGGACGGAGGCAGGGCAGCCAAACCUGGUGCCCUCCCUGCCUGCCGGCUCCAUCUCCACCAGCCCAGAUUAUUCCAAGUCCUGCUGUCACUGGCUCGCAGCGGCCGCCUUGGGGUUCCCAGCGGGGAGGUCUUGGGUGUGCACGUCCCUCAAAGCCGUCCCGGUUGUGUCUGCACCAGGGAGCCGCCUGGCAGGCCUUGCAGGUCUUCUCAAACCGUCCUUUCCCUGCUAUUGCUUUGCGUUUUUUGUUUGUUUUUUGUUUUUUGUAAUUGUCAAACAAACCACAUCAGUCCGGGCGUGGUGGUUCAUGCCUGUAAUCCCAGCACUCUGGGAGGCCGAGGCAGGUGGAUCACCUGAGGUCAGGAGUUCGAGACCAGCCUGGUCAACAUGGUGAAAUCCCAUCUCUACUAAAGAUACAAAAAUUAGCCGGGCCUCUUGAUGUAUACCUGUAAUCCCAGCUACUCUGGAGGCUGAGAGAAGAAAAUCACUUGAACCCAGGAGGCAGAGGUUGCAGUGAACCAAGAUCGCACCACUGCACUCCAGCCUGGGCGACAGAGCGAGACUCCAUCUC